rnacentral:rRNA from 1 species
CCUACGGGUGGCAGCAGUGGGGAAUAUUGGACAAUGGGGGCAACCCUGAUCCAGCCAUGCCGCGUGUGUGAAGAAGGCCCUCGGGUUGUAAAGCACUUUCAGUGAGGAAGAACGCCUGGUGGUUAAUACCCAUCAGGAAAGACAUCACUCACAGAAGAAGCACCGGCUAACUCCGUGCCAGCAGCCGCGGUAAUACGGAGGGUGCGAGCGUUAAUCGGAAUUACUGGGCGUAAAGCGCGCGUAGGUGGCUUGAUAAGCCGGUUGUGAAAGCCCCGGGCUCAACCUGGGAACGGCAGCCGGAACUGUCAAGCUAGAGUGCAGGAGAGGAAGGUAGAAUUCCCGGUGUAGCGGUGAAAUGCGUAGAGAUCGGGAGGAAUACCAGUGGCGAAGGCGGCCUUCUGGACUGACACUGACACUGAGGUGCGAAAGCGUGGGUAGCAAACAGGAUUAGAUACCCCUGUAGUC